GGGGUAAUGGCCUACCAAGGCGAUGAUCGGUAGCUGGUCUGAGAGGACGAUCAGCCACACUGGCACUGACACACGGGCCAGACUCCUACGGGAGGCAGCAGUGAGGAAUAUUGGUCAAUGGGCGAAAGCCUGAACCAGCAACGCCGCGUGAGGGAUGAAGGCCUUCGGGUCGUAAACCUCUUUUCUGGGAGAAGAGACAAGGACGGUAUCCCAGGAAUAAGUCUCGGCUAACUACGUGCCAGCAGCCGCGGUAAAACGUAGGAGGCAAGCGUUAUCCGGAUUUACUGGGCGUAAAGCGCACGCAGGCGGCUGCGUAAGUCGGACGUGAAAGCUCCUGGCUCAACUGGGAGAGGUCGUUCGAAACUGCGCGGCUUGAGGUUGGAAGAGGAGAGCGGAAUUCCCGGUGUAGUGGUGGAAUGCGUAGAUAUCGGGAGGAACACCAGUGGCGAAAGCGGCUCUCUGGUCCACACCUGACGCUCAGGUGCGAAAGCGUGGGUAGCGAACGGGAUUAGAUACCCCGGUAGUCCACGCUGUAAACGAUGCGAACUAGGUGUUGGUAGUAUUAAACCUAUCAGUGCCGAAGCUAACGCGAUAAGUUCGCCGCCUGGGGACUACGGCCGCAGGCUAAAACUCAAAGGAAUUGACGGGGGCCCGCACAAGCAGCGGAACGUGGUGGUUUAAUUCGAUGCACACGAAGAAC
rnacentral:rRNA from 1 species